rnacentral:lncRNA from 1 species
UGUGUUUUCGGAAGAGGAGAUUGACAGUGUAAUAUUUGACCACAGAUAAUACUUAUAAUACGGGUUUGACCAUAGUAAUAUAGGUUUUGACAAUGACAGAUGACAGCAAGUGAAAAAGUCAACAAGAAGAAAAAAAACAAUUAAAUAGUAUAAUAACAACAAUGAACAACAUUUGGAAAUUAAUAUAAAUUAUAUUCGUAUAAGUGGGUUGGAAGUAUUAUAUAAUAAUUAUAACCUGGAGAAAUUCUCAUAAUUUGAGAAGGUGAGAAGCAGAGGAAGAACAUCAAGCCCAGACACAGCUUAACUCCAAUAGAAGAUUGGAUUUCAAAGCAGCCCACACUGAAGGAGAUUCCUGAACCAGAGCAAGUAUGCCAGGACCCAUGAGGCAUCGCAAUGGUGGAGGGAGGUCAUUCCAACAGUGUGUGGCCGCAAACUUGAAAGACCCUCUGAAAGCUGUAGUACGAUGCAUCGGAACAACAAGAGGACAAACAAUGGACCGAAUACCAUGCUUUAGCUGGUUAUGUUUCCAUGUUAGCUUUUUGUAGAGAUAAUUCGGUUUUUCCGUUCUAAUUGUGCCGAACAGUAAACUAGCCAAAUGUAGCCUCCUCCUAGCAGCCAUUUUUAACAAGUUAAGUUCGUUAAUGAAUGGUGUUACAUGACUUCUGCGAGGAAUAUUUACACAGAAACGAGCACAAGCAUUUUGGAUCCGCUGGAUGACAUGUACAGUUUUUGAAAGAAGGCAUGGUCCAUAUACUACAUCACAAUAAUUUAACUUUGAUAGAAUAAGACUGUCUACAAGUUGUUUGCGCAAGGGAAUAGCCAGGUAUCUUCUUAUUCCAUAUAAAACCUUUAACCUAUAAAAACAGUUACGAAGGACAUUGCUAAUAUGAGACUCAAAACGCAGCUCGGGAUCCAUAAUCAACCCAAGAUUGCAAGCCUGUUCCACUCUCUCAAUUCUACCAGUUAUAGGCAGUUAUAGGUCUAUAUAAACUGGUUGCCAUUAAAAGCUUGUACAAACGGGUGGGCAGAGUUCAAGGCAAAGUGGACAUCGUUUAUAUGUAACUUAAUUACUCUUAUGGGGUUUAUUAAAUACGUUGUGUUGGCUAAAAGCUAUGGACAAUUAUAUGGGGGGUCUAUGUGUGUGACACACAUAUAGGUACACACAUGUUUUAGUAUGUGUGUGUGUUUUGGUGAUGCGUUUGUUUCUUUGUGUUGUUUUAUUGUGAUAGUUAUGUAAUACUUUUGAAAUGUGUAUGUGUUUGUUGAUGAAAACAUUAUUGUAAUCUUACACUAAAGUUUUGUUAUGUAAGAAGGUAUUUUUAAAACGAAUCCAGCAUUAAGCUUGCAAGGCUACUAGACUUAAGUAGGCACUAGAAAACUAAAUGAUCAGCACAGCUUUACAAUAUUGAAAAACAUUCUAGAAAUAAACCUCAAGAAAUCGCAAAAUCUGCUGAAAAUAAUAAGAGACAUUCCAUAGAGACUGAGAAUUUCUCUUUUAGAAAAUUGCACUUUCUCAAAACAUACCACUAUCGAAUCUGUGCUUAAAAAUUACAAUAACUAAAUAACCCAACCACAUAAAGACUUCAUAAAUAAACAUCAGACAUUACACUAAAAGGCUAGCCAUUUCAUCAUUUAGCUGGUGUUUAUGAUCAUUAAACGCCCCCACCUCUGGGAAUUCCCAAGUCCCAGGUCCCAAUUCCCAGUUUAGGGGUCCCAAAUGUAUAAGGUCUGUAAAAUUGUGGAUAUACCAACAGUUGUUUGGACAUUUUUUUAUGUUAAUGCUUUAGGGAGUUAAUAUCUCGUGGUUUUAGUGUUUGGUUUUAUUAUAAUAUAGAUCAAAGUAUUU